rnacentral:misc_RNA from 1 species
GCAAACUUGGUCAUUUAGAGGAAGUAAAAGUCGUAACAAGGUUUCCGUAGGUGAACCUGCGGAAGGAUCAUCAAAGGAGGAGGGGGAGGGAAGGAGGAAGUCUUGCGGGAUUUUCUUCUUCCUCACCCAACCAAUCUUGUGUGAACUGUAGCGAGCAUACGCGUGGGUGUGUUGGUGGGAAGGGAGUGUCUCUCGCCCGCCGCCAUCACGCUUGCACAACUAUCCAGUUUAUCUUGUCUAACUUGUCGCAAAUAACAAAUCACAACUUUUAACAAUGGAUCUCUUGGCUCUCGCAUCGAUGAAGAACGCAGC